ACAGGCCGUAAACCCAAGGUUUCCAGGGGAAGGUUCGUCCGCCCUGGGUUAGUCGGGACCUAAGCUGAGGCCGAAAGGCGUAGGCGAUGGACAACAGGUUGAUAUUCCUGUACUACCGAUAACCGUUCGAGAGAGGGGAUGACACAGUAGGAUAAGCUAAGCACACUGUUGGUUAUGUGUGCCCAAGCAUUGAGGCAGUCAAAGUAGGCAAA
rnacentral:rRNA from 1 species